rnacentral:miRNA from 1 species
CAUUAUGUUUGUUGUGUGUUUGUGCAUGUGUGCAUAUAGAAGAUACACACACACACACACACACACACACACAACAGGUAAAAACA